CAGACCUGGGUUUGCCGGACAGGAGCUCUCGCACAGAGGUUUUCUGGCUUCGACACGACGCUCCGCUCGCGCUCAGAACACUGCGGAUCGCAAGAGACGCCUCUACGGCCUGACCGAGACUCACAGAGUGUUACAUGAACAUAUGGACCGCAUUAAUAACCAUGACUUGAAGAAACAGAACGGGAAAACUGAGAAAUGGGGCAUCAAGAUAGUUCUACCGUUAGUUGAGACCGAAGACUAUGACGUAAACUCAUCGGAGUCUGAAUGGGAGGAAGAGGCUGAGAAACUGUGCAACUGGUCAAAGCAACUGGAUAUAGAGGCUGUCCAGACACCGGAGCUCAUUUAGACGGACUUAGUAGACUUUACACUAGUAGAUGCCUUGAUUUAAGUAUACACUACAAACUAUUAGUGCAUUAUUCUGAGGAUUUGAAUUGGC